rnacentral:rRNA from 1 species
CCUACGGGAGGCAGCAGUGAGGAAUAUUGGUCAAUGGACGGAAGUCUGAACCAGCCAAGUAGCGUGAAGGAUGACUGCCCUAUGGGUUGUAAACUUCUUUUAUAUGGGAAUAAAACGAUCCACGUGUGGGUUUUUGUAUGUACCAUAUGAAUAAGCAUCGGCUAACUCCGUGCCAGCAGCCGCGGUAAUACGGAGGAUCCGGGCGUUAUCCGGAUUUAUUGGGUUUAAAGGGUGCGUAGGUGGAUCGUUAAGUCAGUCGUGAAAGGUUGGGGCUCAACCGUAAGAUUGCAGUUGAAACUGGCAGUCUUGAGUACAGUAGAGGUGUGCGGAAUGCGGGGUGUAGCGGUGAAAUGCUUAGAUAGCACGAAGAACUCCGAUUGCGAAGGCAGUAUACUGGAGUGGAACUGACACUGAGGCACGAAAGCGUGGGUAUCAAACAGGAUUAGAUACCCCAGUAGUC